rnacentral:misc_RNA from 1 species
GCUAAGUUUCUUGAGGGUGAAAAACUCUUCAUUGUGCUACUGUUUGCCCUUGGUCUCUUCUAUGUUUUCCCUGUGCUUUCUAUGCUUUGGUAUGAGAGCAAGUCCUAUUAAUUAUUUUGUUGCACUAUAAGAAAAGAUAGUAUCUUUAAACGUCUAUGUUCUGAUGGAAAAAAAACAAUGGAGGCAAGUAGCACAUAUAUCAAACCAGGGUUUAAUUUUGAUUUCAAUAUGUUUGAACUUCCAAGACACUGUCAAGACUCUAAAUUCUUUGGUUGCAGAAUACCAUUUCUUGGCCUAAUUUUGUUCUGCUUAUAAGAUUGCAGAGCU